rnacentral:lncRNA from 1 species
CUGCCCUAGGCUUUAGGACAGUGGCAAACAUGGCCUCUGCCCAUCCCCAUCUGUGAGCACUCCUUCUUACCCCAAGGUCAGUUGCUAACCAAUGAGCUGCUGGGGGCCUCCUUCUCCCACUCCCACUGCACUGUGUCCAGAGUGGCCAGCACCAGCCCCAGGUGUCAGGGGUCAGUGCAUUUGCCUCGGGGGGACUGGCAGAGUGGGUGCUUCCUGAAAGGCUGUGCUGGACUCAGCCCAUAGACUUCGUGUGUCCCAUGGGCUAGGGCCAAAGGAAGCAGUCAGCAAGCGCCAUCCACCCCAGCUUUUCUCUCCCUGGGGACUGCUGGACUGAGGGUACAGGUGGCCCAGCUCCGAAGGCUGUUGCUGGCCAGGCCUGCCCACCUCCCCUCUGCCCUGCAGGCACUUGCCUUUUCAGAGUCACAUUUGAAUCCUACUCCUUACAUCAAGGUUCAGGCAGCUGUCCAAACACCUUAUCUCUUCAUCUCUGGCCAUUUCUUCAGAGUCGACUAUGAGCAGAAAUCACCCAGACACCCCACAGGAAGCAGACCAGAAAAAUUUGGAAAAUUUGCAGACUGGCCAUGUGACAAAGAAAGAAAAAGCUUUUUCCAGGAGAAAAAUUUGAGCAGGCUGUGGAGAAAACACUUGCUAGAGAGAGUUGCAUAAUUAAAACAAAACCCAGAUGCUGAUAGCCAAGACAAUGGGGAAAAGGCCUUGCACGCAUUCCAGAGAUCUCCAUGGCAGUCCAUCACAUCACAGACCUUGAGGCCUAAGAGGAAAGAAUGCUUUUGAGGGCCAGGACUUUACUGCUCUGCACAGCCUCAGGACACUGCUCCCCACAUCCUGGCCACUUCAGCUGCAGUCUCAACUCAGAAGACCCCCGAUACAGCUCAGGCUACUGCUUCAGAGGGUGCAAGCUAUAAGCCUCAGCAACUUCCAUGUGGUAUUAAGCCUAUGGGCAUGCAGAGUGCAAGAAUGACGGCUGGGCAUUCUCUGCGCCAGCGCCGGUGCGCUGCGUACUCCUCAGCACAGACCCGGAGAGCAUCGCCAGGGCGGAGCUGAGUUCUCCUCUGCACAGACCUGGGGAGGCCGGGGGCACCGCGAGGGUGAAGCUGCGUUCUGCUCAGCACAGCCCCAGGGGACUCUGUGAAGGCAGAGCCACGUUCUCCUCAGCACAGACCUUGGGGACACUGCCUCGCUUUGGGACAACUCGGGGCCACAUCGACGAUGAAUAAAAUCCUUCCUGUUUGCAGCCCUGAAUAAUCAGGGUCAGAGACCAGUUAGAAGGGUUCACUGUGGAAAAACGGGAAACCAAAAGCCCCUCUAAAUCCUUCCUAACGAGGUUCUCCCCAGCCAAGGCGAGGCGGCCGCAGUGCGAGAUCCACACCACAGCCUCAGAAGACAAAUGCAGCAUUCCUAAUGCAGACAUGACACCCGAAAUAUGACACCCCCAUUGCUCAUGUAACAAGCACCUGUAAUGCUAAUGCAUUGCCUCAAUACAAAAAUAUUAAUAUAAGAUCCGCAAUCCCCUCGCUGCCGUGCAGUCCUAAGACAGCGAUCAUAACAAUCAACAUUGACAUAGUCAAUACAAACGUAGUAACGAACCUAGGGUUAAGGUUGGUG